rnacentral:lncRNA from 1 species
AGCUCCUUCUCCUCUCUGCAGUUUGUCACCAUGACCAGCAGACUUCUAGAACUGGAUACUUGGUCGUCUUAGAAGAGCUUCUUGUUCUGUUUCCAUCCCAGUAUGAUGCAAGACCCCAGAACAACUGAAUUGAUGCUACUGAUUCAAAUCAUGGUUAAUUCACAUCUCCCUCUUGGCUGAAGCUAAACCGAAGCUGCUGUCUCUCAUGAAGAUUCUGCCUGCAGCUGCGUGACACAGAUUAUAAAAAGACUCUCAGAUGGAACACAGAAACUUCGCUUCUAAUCAUUCAAAUGCUUCAUUCAGUUGAAAUUAUCGUCUAGGAAAAUUCCAGAUGUUCCGAUGUUUCACUUCCCCAUCUGAAGUUCCCAUCCUGGAGGGCAGCUGGUCACUGAUCUGCGCUGCUACACUGGCAAUGAUCAGCAGGGGUCUGCUCAGGGGCCAGCAAGAGGAUCCACCAAUACCCUGGAGAAAUCAAGUAGGAAUCAAGAAAGAUGAGAAGAAGGGAAAUUUCUAACCCUAGGUUACUCUUGUGUACUCUUCACCAAGAGAACCAGUGAAGGAGGAGGGAAAAUAAAGACAAAAUAAGCAUUUAGGACAGGAGCUGGAGAGAUGGCCGAGAGCAGUCAAGAGUUCUUGUUGCUCUUGAGGAGGAAGGACCUGGAUUCAGUUCAACCAGGUACAACACAACCUAUAGUACCAGUUCCAGGGGAUCCAGUGUCCCCUUCUGACCUUCAAAGGCACACGCGUACAUGUACGUACAGAAAAACCUCACAUGUCAAAUCAAAAGAACACGUUCAGUAAGAUUGUAAAAUAUAUUGGGUGACUUAAGCAAUGGUUUAAACAUUUGUAUAAAUUAAGGGGAACCGCUUUUUCUGAGAGAGUUUUGUGGGGUUUAUGGUGUAAUGUGCAAAGGUUGAACAUCUCCUUUAACACACUGUCUUGAAGUCCGUAUGCCCCAGUGCUCUGAGAAAUGUUAUAGGGGACGAAACACUGACUGGUUUUCUUUGAUGGUCUUUUGCUGCAAAGCAUUGGCUUCCCUCACUUUAAUCAAACCCUCUUUCUUCUGCAAAGUGUCUCAGCUCUGAAGAUGCAGCAAACUACUUUAUGAAGAA